rnacentral:lncRNA from 1 species
AAGUAUGUCUAUAUUUACAAUUUCGGUUUUAAGUAUAUUCUAGUAGACUCUGUACAUUAUUUCUGUAUUUUCUUCUCUGUAUUUUAUUAUUACUAUCUACAAAAUAAUAUACAGAGUAUAUCUGUAUAACAAGACUCGCGAAGAAGCUAUGCAAAAAUUUCGAGAAAGAAUCCAGCAACAAUGGCGGGGCCCACAUGGGACCCACACGAAGACUUCUGCACAAAACAACAACAGUUUCUGACAGCAAUUGUCGGCACCACUCAAGACUCAACACGUAUUAAAUUAAGUGUCGGCACCACUAGAAGACGACACGUUACAAGACUUUAUUCAAGCACUCUUUUCCUAUAAAUACGCAAUUAUGUUCAAGGAAGAAGGCACGAGCAUUUUUUCACUCUCAAAAAACCUUCACUCUCUAAAAGCUCUCCCUUCUCUCUAAAAUUUCUUGUGUUUUCUGAGUUUUUUAAGUUUGUAAUUUUGUAUCAAAGAUUGUAUCACAAUUCAAGAUAAAUAAAAGUAAGUUUUAAUCAUAUUCUGUGUACA